rnacentral:rRNA from 1 species
CCUGAGAGGGUGACCGGCCAAUUUGGGACUGAGAUACGGCCCAGAAUUCCUAGGGGAGGCAGCAGCUUGAGAAUCUUCCACAAUUGGACGAAAGUCUGAUGGAGCGACAUCGCGUGAGGGAUGAAGGCCUUCGGGUUGUAAACCUCGGAAAUUAUCGAAGAAUGAGUGACAGUAGAUAAUGUAAGCCUCGGCUAACUACGUGCCAGA